GACAGAGGGUGCAAACGUUUGUUCGGAAUUACUGGGCGUAAAGCGCGUGUAGGCGGUUAUGCAAGUCGGGUGUGAAAGCCCAGGGCUCAACCCUGGAAGUGCAUUCGAUACUGCGUAGCUAGAGUACCGGAGAGGGUGGUGGAACUCUGGGUGUAGAGGUGAAAUUCGUAGAAUAUCCAGAAGAACACCGGUGGCGAAGGCGGCCACCUGGACGGAUACUGACGGCUGAGACGCGAAAGCGUGGGGAGCAAACAGG
rnacentral:rRNA from 1 species